rnacentral:tRNA from 1 species
GACUCGGUGGUCUAAUGGUAAGGCGUUUGCCGUGAAGCCAUAGAGUCUUGGGUUCGAUCCUUGAUGGGGUCA